UGCCAUGUAGCAAAAAGCCCCAAUGGCCAGAGACAGGACAUUAGAUGGGGAGGGCUCUGAGUUUCUACAGAGAAUUCUUUCCCAGGUAUCUGCUUGCUGGGUCUUGCCCACAUGCUCAGAUUCUAAUUUAUCACCAGUUUUG